CCUUUGUCUACACACAGGUAGGAGACUCCGUGUAAGUCCGGCGGCACCGCUCUCAAGGAUUGGAGCCUCGUUGGAAGGGACCUUACAUCGUCCUGCUGACCACGCCCACCGCCAUAAAGGUUGACGGGAUUGCCGCCUGGAUUCACGCAUCGCACGCCAAAGCAGCCCCAAAAACCCCUGGACCAGAAACUCCCAAAACCUGGAAGCUCCACCGUUCGGAGAACCCUCUUAAGAUAAGACUCUCCCGUGUCUGACUGCUAAUCCACCCUGUCCCUGCACGAACCCAAAAUGAAACCCCCAGCAGGAAUGGUCUUUCUGUGGGUCCUCACAAGCUUGGGGGCGGGAAUUGGAGCUAAAAUUGUCAAAGAGGGGAACCCACAUCAGGUUUACACCUUGACUUGGCAAAUCUACUCCCAGAGUGGGGAAGUUGUCUGGGAGGUCCAAGGUAACCAUGCGCUUAACACUUGGUGGCCCCCACUUACCCCUGAUUUUUGCCAGCUGGCAGCUGGACUAGACACUUGGGAUAUCCCCCUGGUUUACCACUUUAGUCUCCUCCCUCAUGGGCCCCUUAAUACUCCUACUAUUAAUACUGGUGUUCGGACCCUGCAUCCUUAACCGCUUAGUACAGUUCAUAAGAGAAAGACUCUCUGUCAUCCAGGCCUUGGUUCUAACCCAACAGUACCACCAACUAAGACAAUUUGAUGCAGAAAGGCCAGAUACAAUCGAAUGAAAGGUUUCAUUCGACGCCAAAAGAAAAUGGGGGAUCGGAAGAGCAUCGUGAGUUCAAAGGAGGCAAGAAUACACAUUGUCAAAACAGGAUGAAGUUGACCAGUGAAAAGUUGCCCAAGAACCCCUUUUAUACCGCUCUCUCCCAGUAUGGUGCUAAGAACUCAAAAUUCUUCCAGUGGAGGAAGGAAAAGACUGAUCAUUACGGCCAUGCUAAUUUGGUGGAUAAGGCAUUGCAGCUCUUGAAGGAAAGAAUAAGAUGGGGGGAUGCUAUGGCAUAUUUCCUACGAGGUCAACUGUAUUUUGAAGAGGGAUGGUAUGAAGAAGCAUUAGAACAGUUUGAAGAAAUCAAGGAAAAAGACCAUCAAGCAACUUACCAGCUAGGAGUAAUGUAUUAUGAUGGGCUGGGGACACCUACAGACGCUGAAAAAGGAGUGGAAUACAUGAAGAAAAUCAUCCAUUCUCCAUGUCCCAAAGCAAGACACCUACAAUUUGCAGCUGCCUACAACCUUGGAAGAGCUUAUUAUGAAGGGAAAGGUGUCAAACGAUCAGAUGAGGAAGCUGAAAGACUGUGGCUUUUUGCUGCAGACAAUGGAAAUCCAAAAGCUAGUGUGAAAGCUCAAAGUAUCCUAGGAUUAUAUUAUUCCACAAAAGAACCCAAAGAAUUAGAAAAGGCAUUUUAUUGGCAUUCAGAAGCGUGUGGCAAUGGAAAUCUGGAGUCCCAGGGUGCACUUGGGCUGAUGUAUUUUUACGGACAAGGCAUCCGCCAGGACCCUGAAGCUGCCUUGCAGUGCUUAAGGGAAGCGGCAGAACGUGGAAACGUCUAUGCUCAAGGGAAUCUCGUGGAGUAUUACUAUAAGAUGAAAUUUUUUACUAAGUGUGUUACAUUUUCCAAAAGGAUUGCUGACUACGAUGAAGUUCAUGACAUCCCUACGAUAGCCCGGGUCACGGACUGUCUCCCGGAAUUCAUCACCAGAGGCAUGGCCAUGGCAUCUUUCUACCAUGCCCGAUGUCUUCAGCUUGGCUUGGGGGUCACAAAGGAUGAAGCGACAGCGAAACACUACUAUUCUAAAGCGUGCCGUCUGAACCCUGCAUUGGCAGAUGAACUUCACUGUUUACUUAUACAUCAAAGAAUUUAGAUCAUAAUGCGUUUCAACAAAGACCAUCAACCCUGGCACCUUAGAAUGGGUCUCCUUGCCAUGUCACACCGUCAACAGUAUUUCAUAUUUAACGUUAUAAUCAGACGACUUGGAAACGGUCUGCUUUGCUGAAGUACGAAAACUAAGCAGUCACACAAAAAGGUGAUGCGCAUCUGGUCUGAGAGAAGGACGGACUGCGCGCUGGAGGCAUGGUUUUUCCCUUUUCUUUCACCGAACUGAACAACUGAACGGUCAGAUGACAAUGAAGCACAGUACAUAAAUGGGGGCGUUGAAGAUUUUUAUUAUACCAUGCCGGGCAUUUUGCUGUCCAACGAGGCUCUGCAGCGUAUCUGAAAGAUCAGGAUCAGAACCUAGGCCUCACCUGGAAUGUUCUCAAGCAGCUUCUGCUGUGCUCUCUGUUUUGUUUCCUGACUUUGUUCUUCGCUUCUGAUUGUGGUUGGAGGCGCCAAUUUCCCAUGUGGCCAAAAAGCAUCCCGGAAAACGUUGAUGUAGUAAACCAACAUCUGCUCACUGAAAAUCCAGUUCACGGUGUCCCGGAUUUGCCUUUUAAGAGAAAAAUGUUUCUUGGAUGACGUUUUGAAAAAUGUUAUCCUCUAUUCUCGCAAGGCAUUUAUCAGUGGGUAGGUUAAGAUACAGCCUGAUCUACACGUUUGAUGAAUAAACUAGGAAUUGAAUUUUUAAA